UACGGAGGGGGCUAGCGUUGUUCGGAAUUACUGGGCGUAAAGCGCACGUAGGCGGCUUUGUAAGUCAGAGGUGAAAUCCCAAGGCUCAACCUUGGAACUGCCUUUGAUACUGGGGAUCUUGAGUCCGGGAGAGGUGAGUGGAACUGCGAGUGUAGGGGUGAAAUUCGUAGAUAUUCGCAAGAACACCAGUGGCGAAGGCGCUCACUGGCCCGGUACUGACGCUGAGGUGCGAAAGCGUGGGGAGCAAACAGG
rnacentral:rRNA from 1 species